GCCCAGAUGGCGGAACUGGUAGACGCGCUGGACUCAAAAUCCAGUGGUGGCAACACCGUGAGAGUUCGAUUCUCUCUUUGGGCA
rnacentral:tRNA from 1 species